UACGGAGGAUGCGAGCGUUAUCCGGAUUUAUUGGGUUUAAAGGGUGCGUAGGCGGCCUUGUAAGUCAGCGGUGAAAUUUUGCAGCUUAACUGUAAAAGUGCCGUUGAUACUGUGAGGCUAGGAUUUGGUUGCUGUGGGUGGAAUGUGUGGUGUAGCGGUGAAAUGCUUAGAGAUCACACAGAAUAUCGAUUGCGAAGGCAGCUCACAAAGCCAAGAUUGACGCUGAGGCACGAAAGUGUGGGUAUCAAACAGGA
rnacentral:rRNA from 1 species